rnacentral:tRNA from 1 species
CAAAGUGUAGCUUAAACAAAGCACCCUGCUUACACCAAGAAAAUGUUUGAUAAACUCGAACCACUUUGA